rnacentral:lncRNA from 1 species
GUGACGCCCCGCUGGCAGCGUCCCCUCGCCCAGCCCCCCCGUGGGCCGAGCCUGGCCCAGGUCCGGGACCGUAUCCGGCCUCUCCGCCGCCGCCACAUCCCGGCCCUGCGUGUCCCCAAGGCGUCUCCAAGGGGUCCCCGACGCUGCCACCACCUAUGGAGACCCCUGAGGCCACCGGGGCCAUCGUCCCCCCCGAGGUGUCCCCGGAGCUGCUGGAGCCGUUGGUGACUGUGGUGGCCAUCCUGGGCGAGCUGGGGGCCACGCCAGGGGACAUCCCCCUGGCCGGGUCACCGGGCUCGCUGCGGGCGAGGCUGGUGGCCCUCAUCGCCAACAUCCGCCGGGCCAUGGACCACCAUCACGGAGAUGCCACCCGCCUCCGUCCGCGCCCUGGCCACCGCCGGGGCCCACCAAGGCCACCGCUGGAGCCACCACCGUGGCCACCCUCGAGCCCGCUGUGGUCCCACCGGGGGAUUCCGCUGUCCCCAGGGCCACCGCAGGGGACGCCUGGGCCAUCGUGGCGACCAUCACCCCGCGAGUGGCGGGAGGCCGUGGCCUCGGUGGCGGCCACCUGGGCCACGGUAGCGGGGGACGCCGCGCACCUGAGGGACGCCUGUGGGACCGCGGCCACCACAGGGGCCACCACAGGGGCCACCGCCGGGGUCACCAUGGGCCACCUGGCAGCGGCGAUGGCCCAGGAGGACAGGGCACGCCAGCAGCUGCUGGCGGCCACCCGGGCGCUGCCGGUGGCCUCAGAGUUGGCUACGAUGGCCGAGGUGGUGACAGCCCACAAGACACGGGUGUCUGAGGCCAGCGCGGGGCUGCAGGCGGCCACCGAGGCCACCGAGAAGAUGGCGGCGGCAAUGGUGGAGACGGCGGUGGCUGGGGAGAGGGGACGGCUGGCGGCGGUGGCCCACAAGCCCCUGGGACGCUUGGUGGCCGCCUGUCACCAGGCCACCCUCUUCUACUGUCACCUGCGGCGCCGCCUCGAGGACAUCGAGGCCACCGUGGCUGCUAUGGCUGCUGGACACGGUGGCCCUGAGGCUCCCGGAGUGGCCCAGGAGGGUCCCGGUUUCCCCGGGUCCACCGUGACCGUGCAAGGAGGUCCUGGUGUCCCCGAGGACCUGAUGGCAGCGGUGGCGGCGGCCGAGGCGUUGUGGGACGCUAGCGCCCGCCUGGCCAAAUGCCACCUCUUGGGGACGCUGCGGGUGGCCCGGGGGCUGUUGGUCAACCCCAACGUCCCCGAGGCCACCACCGUGGCCCAGCGCUGCCGGGACGCCACCGCCGCCCUCCCGGGGCUGCUGCCGCGGGGACCGCGGUAGGGGACGGUGGCUUCGUUGGGGACCAGCGGCUUCGUUGGGGAGUACUGGCAUCAAUGUCACUGCUGCAGUCUUGGUUCCGUGUCACUUUGUCCCCAACUUGUG